rnacentral:rRNA from 1 species
UACGUAGGGUGCAGGCGUUAAUCGGAAUUACUGGGCGUAAAGCGUGCGCAGGCGGCUCCUUAAGUCAGAUGUGAAAGCCCCGGGCUUAACCUGGGAACUGCGUUUGAAACUGGGGAGCUGGAGUGUAGAAGAGGGGGGUGGAAUGCCAGGUGUAGCAGUGAAAUGCGUAGAUAUCUGGAGGAACACCGAUGGCGAAGGCAGCCCCCUGGGCUAACACUGACGCUCAUGCACGAAAGCGUGGGGAGCAAA